GGUGAACGCUGGCGGCGUGCCUAAGACAUGCAAGUCGAGCGGGCCGCGGGGUUUUACUCCGUGGUCAGCGGCGGACGGGUGAGUAACGCGUGGGUGACCUACCCGGAAGAGGGGGACAACCCGGGGAAACUCGGGCUAAUCCCCCAUGUGGACCCGCCCCUUGGGGUGUGUCCAAAGGGCUUUGCCCGCUUCCGGAUGGGCCCGCGUCCCAUCAGCUAGUUGGUGGGGUAAUGGCCCACCAAGGCGACGACGGGUAGCCGGCCUGAGAGGGUGGCCGGCCACAGGGGCACUGAGACACGGGCGCCACUCCUACGGGAGGCAGCAGUUAGGAAUCUUCCGCAAUGGGCGCAAGCCUGACGGAGCGACGCCGCUUGGAGGAAAAAGCCCUUCGGGGUGUAAACUCCUGAACCCGGGACGAAACCCCGACGAGGGGACUGACGGUACCGGGGUAAUAGCGCCGGCCAACUCCGUG
rnacentral:rRNA from 1 species